CUGUGAGGAGAGGUAGACGUGGCACACGAUUGAGAGAUUUAACAUUAAGUAGGAGUGCUGGGCACAGGUUACCAAUCCAAUUUGAUCGGAGAUGGAAUCCGAUAGGGGAACAUAAGGCCAAGUUUGUUAGUUUUCUUAGCCUCCUAUCUCGUACCAAGCCCCCUAUUGUAUUGAGGACUUGUCUGAUAUGCCAGAAUGUGUGAAGGACUAGAUAUGGGAAAGUAUUUAGGUUGAUUUCCUACUGUAGAAAGUACUGGAGAAAUUUCAAGACUGAUCUUGCUAAGAGAUAUAUCCAUAUUAAGGUGCCAAAAGG